UUUAAUAUGGCAGAUUAGUGCCAUGAAAUUAAGAUUCAUAUAUAAAUAUAAAUUAUUUUAUUAAAA
rnacentral:tRNA from 1 species